rnacentral:tRNA from 1 species
GGAGAGGUGUGGCGAAUCGGUAAGCCGGCACACUGCUAAUGUGUUGUCCGAAAGGGCAUGCGAGUUCGAGCCUCGCCCUCUCCGCCA